UACGAGGGGAGCAAGCGUUGUUCGGAUUUACUGGGCGUAAAGGGCGCGUAGGCGGUUUGCUAAGUUGGAUGUGAAAACUCUGGGCUUAACCCAGAGCCUGCAUCCAAAACUGGCAAACUUGAGUACUGGAGGGGAAAGCGGAAUUCCUGGUGUAGCGGUGAAAUGCGUAGAUAUCAGGAGGAACACCGGUGGCGAAGGCGGCUUUCUGGACAGUAACUGACGCUGAGGCGCGAAAGCUAGGGGAGCAAACAGG
rnacentral:rRNA from 1 species